UUGGAGGGCCAAGUCUGGUGCCAGCAGCCGCGGUAAUUCCAGCUCCAAUAGCGUAUAUUAAAGUUGUUGCGGUUAAAAAGCUCGUAGUCUGAGGUCUGUUCCGGACUGGCUGGGGAGGUCACCGCCCGGUGCUUCCCCGUCAGGUUCCGAACAGCUUCUGCCGCGAGCGGAAGCCAUGCCGGUUCUCUCGGGGUGCUCUUGACCGAGUGUCCCGUGUGGCCGGCAGGUUCACCUUGAACAAAUGAGAGUGCUCAAAGCAGGCUACUCUUAAAACUAAAGCCCGAAUGUUAACUGCAUGGAAUGAUGAAAGAUGAUCUCGGUUGUAUUUUACUGGCUUGUGAUAAAUCCGAGUUAAUGAUAAACAGGGACUGUCGGGGGCAUCCGUACUACGACGCGAGAGGUGAAAUUCAGUGACCGUCGUAGGACGAACAACAGCGAAAGCAUUUGCCAAGAAUGUCUUCGUUGAUCAAGAACGAAAGUUAGAGGAUCGAAGGCGAUCAGAUACCGCCCUAGUUCUAACCCUAAACGAUGCUAACUAGCUAUUCGCCGUCGUUAUUCCCAUGACGUGGCGAGACGCCCCCGGGAAACCUCAAGUCUUUGAGUUCCGGGGGUAGUAUGGUUGCAAAACUGAAACUUAAAGGAAUUGACGGAAGGGCACCACCAGGAGUGGAGCCUGCGGCUUAAUUUGACUCAACACGGGAAACCUCACCAGGCCCGGACACCAGAAGGAUUGACAGAUUAAGAGCUCUUUCUCGAUUUGGUGGGUGGUGGUGCAUGGCCGUUCUUAGUUGGUGGAGUGAUUUGUCUGGUUAAUUCCGGUAACGAACGAGACUCUGGCCUACUAACUAGUGGAUGGGUGUUCUGACAGUGGGGCCCCAUCCGAUAAUGUCUUCUUAGAGGGAUGAGCAGCGAGUAUAGCUGCAGGAGAUUGAGCAAUAACAGGUCUGUGAUGCCCUUAGAA
rnacentral:rRNA from 1 species